rnacentral:lncRNA from 1 species
UUCAGAGGUUCAGUCCAUGAUCAUCCAGCUCCAUAAACUCUGGGCUGAAGAUGAGGAAGAACAUUUAUGGUGGAAUGGCGCGUGGCAGACAAAACCUGCUCAGGACAUGGCAAAUAAAAAGCAGAAAGAGCUCUGCUCAGCAGGGACAAAUUAUAUACCCUAAAGCCAUGCUCCAGUGACCUACCUUUUCUAGCCACUCCACAUCUACCUAUGGUUACCACCCAGUUAAUCCAGAUCCAUGGAUUAAUCCAUUGAUUAGGUCACAACUCUUCGAAUCCAACUAUUCCACCUCUGAACAAUUCUUACAUUGUCUCACACAUGGGCUUUUGGGGGACACCUCAUAUCUAAACCAUCACAGGCUGUGAGUGGAGAGUAGGCAGUGUGAACUCCAUCUGCAGGCAGUGGCUGGCUGCAGGUAGCACUGUGGAUUCUAGGACUGUCUACCCAAUGCUCUCCUUGAACAAAUGAGGCAACAGAGGCCGGUAGAGACAGCUCAUACCCUCGGACCCCCAAAACACAGAUUCAAGGCCCAGUGCAAUCUCCACUACUCCGUGAACCUGGGGGCAGAACAUAUAUCUUAUUCAUCUCUGUACUCAGAGUCCAACAAAGAGCCCAGAGCAUAAGAGUCAAUAGAUGCAUGUGUACUGACAAGUGUGUGGAAACAGAGCACUUCUUCAUUUAGCCAAGUUGAGUUAGAUGCGCAAGUGACACCUGAAAGGGUCUAAGGACUGACACAGAAUUAUUGUGUUUUUUCAUGGCAGCCGCACAAGAGUGGGCAUCCCCAGGAGGAUGCCACCUGCCUUGCUGGCCACGAAUCUCUCCAGCAGCCCUUCUUUCUUCUUUAGCCAAACUAACUGAUUUGGCCAAUAAUAUAGAGUUUCCCUACUGGGUAGAGCUGAAAAGAAGGGGACCAGUGACUGGGUGUUGUUGUUUUCUGUUUUCACCAGUUAGUGGGGAUAGCUUUCCAGAAUGGCUUUAGUUCAUGGAUGACUUGGUUUCUCUAGCAGUGGUUGCCAC